rnacentral:rRNA from 1 species
ACAGCUGGCGGCGUGCUUAACACAUGCAAGUCGAACGGUGAAGCUCAGCUUGCUGGGUGGAUCAGUGGCGAACGGGUGAGUAACACGUGAGCAACCUGCCCCGGACUCUGGGAUAAGCGCUGGAAACGGCGUCUAAUACUGGAUAUGAGCUGCGACCGCAUGGUCAGCAGUUGGAAAGAUUUUUUGGUCUGGGAUGGGCUCGCGGCCUAUCAGCUUGUUGGUGAGGUAAUGGCUCACCAAGGCGUCGACGGGUAGCCGGCCUGAGAGGGUGACCGGCCACACUGGGACUGAGACACGGCCCAGACUCCUACGGGAGGCAGCAGUGGGGAAUAUUGCACAAUGGGCGAAAGCCUGAUGCAGCAACGCCGCGUGAGGGAUGACGGCCUUCGGGUUGUAAACCUCUUUUAGCAAGGAAGAAGCGAAAGUGACGGUACUUGCAGAAAAAGCGCCGGCUAACUACGUGCCAGCAGCCGCGGUAAUACGUAGGGCGCAAGCGUUAUCCGGAAUUAUUGGGCGUAAAGAGCUCGUAGGCGGUCUGUCGCGUCUGCUGUGAAAACCCGAGGCUCAACCUCGGGCCUGCAGUGGGUACGGGCAGACUAGAGUGCGGUAGGGGAGAUUGGAAUUCCUGGUGUAGCGGUGGAAUGCGCAGAUAUCAGGAGGAACACCGAUGGCGAAGGCAGAUCUCUGGGCCGUAACUGACGCUGAGGAGCGAAAGGGUGGGGAGCAAACAGGCUUAGAUACCCUGGUAGUCCACCCCGUAAACGUUGGGAACUAGUUGUGGGGUCCAUUCCACGGAUUCCGUGACGCA